rnacentral:rRNA from 1 species
UGGGGAAUAUUGCACAAUGGGCGCAAGCCUGAUGCAGCCAUGCCGCGUGUGUGAAGAAGGCCUUCGGGUUGUAAAGCACUUUCAGCGGGGAGGAAGGCGAUAAGGUUAAUAACCUUGUCGAUUGACGUUACCCGCAGAAGAAGCACCGGCUAACUCCGUGCCAGCAGCCGCGGUAAUACGGAGGGUGCAAGCGUUAAUCGGAAUUACUGGGCGUAAAGCGCACGCAGGCGGUCUGUCAAGUCGGAUGUGAAAUCCCCGGGCUUAACCUGGGAACUGCAUUCGAAACUGGCAGGCUAGAGUCUUGUAGAGGGGGGUAGAAUUCCAUGUGUAGCGGUGAAAUGCGUAGAGAUCUGGAGGAAUACCGGUGGCGAAGGCGGCCCCCUGGACGAAGACUGACGCUCAGGUGCGAAAGCGUGGGGAGCAAACAGG